GGAAGGGAUGUAUUUAUUAGAUUAAAAACCAAUGCCCUUCGGGGCUCUCUGGUGAUUCAUAAUAACUUCUCGAAUCGCACGGCCUUGCGCCGGCGAUGGUUCAUUCAAAUUUCUGCCCUAUCAACUUUCGACGGCUGGGUCUUGGCCAGCCGUGGUGACAACGGGUAACGGAGGGUUAGGGCUCGACCCCGGAGAAGGAGCCUGAGAAACGGCUACUACAUCCAAGGGAGGCAGCAGGCGCGCAAAUUACCCAAUCCCGACACGGGGAGGUAGUGACAAUAAAUACUGAUACAGGGCUCUUUCGGGUCUUGUAAUUGGAAUGAGUACAAUUUAAAUCCCUUAACGAGGAACAAUUGGAGGGCAAGUCUGGUGCCAGCAGCCGCGGUAAUUCCAGCUCCAAUAGCGUAUAUUAAAGUUGUUGAGGUUAAAAAGCUCGUAGUUGAACCUUGGGCCUAGCCGGCCGGUCCGCCUCACCGCGUGCACUGGCUCGGCUGGGUCUUUCCUUCUGGAGAACCGCAUGCCCUUCACUGGGUGUGCCGGGGAACCAGGACUUUUAC
rnacentral:rRNA from 1 species